rnacentral:rRNA from 1 species
GACGAAGGGGGCUAGCGUUGUUCGGAAUCACUGGGCGUAAAGGGCGCGUAGGCGGCUUUAUAAGUCGGGGGUGAAAGCCUGUGGCUCAACCACAGAAUUGCCUUCGAUACUGUAGAGCUUGAGACCGGAAGAGGUAAGUGGAACUGCGAGUGAGAGGUGAAAUUCGUAGAUAUUCGCAAGAACACCAGUGGCGAAGGCGGCUCACUGGCCCGGUACUGAC